rnacentral:lncRNA from 1 species
UAAACUUCUCAUUUUUGUGACUACUGUGCCUUCGAAGGGUAGAGAUUGGCUAUGCAGCAUUCUGCCCAGCUUCUGCCUACUGUAGAUACAAUAUUUUUAACCCUUCUUCACUUCACCUUCCUCUGCUGCCACCACUGAGCCCCCCUCUUUCCCCUCCCACUAGUUCCUUAGCCUGCUCAGUCGCUGUGCUGCCCACUCCUUCCUCAGACCGCCCAUUGUGCUCACGGGACUGCCUUCCAUUCUUCAUAUCCUGGGCGCUGGGUUGUUGACUCUACCUGACCAAACUGUCCCUCCCCGGAACUCUUUCUUCCUGGUUUCCAUGACAUCUGAGCUCUCCCUGUUUUUCUCCUUCCCAACCUCUCCAUGGCUUCUCCUCUUCCGUUUCUUUUGUUUUUCUCCUUUGGCCUUUCUCUUAACUGCAUCCUUAUUCAGCAGGCAUAAUGCUGAACGCUGCGAUGCUGGAGCACAAGACCAUAAGGUACUGUGAGUUUGAAGGAAGAAGGGACGGACAGCAUGCCCUGGCCUCUGGUGACAAGGAAAGGCCCUCGGUUAAAGUGGAGGUAGAAAACGAACCUGGACAAGAGGCUGGAAGAGUUUCUGGUGGACAGAUUUCACACGAACCUCAUGAGACUUGAAAAUGAGUGUUAACUCAGCGUGGUAAAACUACAAAGGGGCUUAUGAGAGAUCUUAUGAGAGAUGAUAAACAGAGUAUGGGUGGCAUGAAAUAGGAAAGCUGGCAGGGUAACUACAGGGAGAAGGGAAUUAGGAAAGCGACAGAUACACAAGCAGAGUGUAGUGAAUGCCACAGGGAUAGGAAGGUGCCGUGACAGACCUAUUGCUGCGCGUUUUAAUAAAAAAAGUCAGUUUUUUCUUUUAAAAUUUUUGUUACAUUUAUUUAAUAUAUGUUGGAGUCAGACGAUAGCACUCAGUAGCCAGUUCUUUUCUUCUUCCAUGUGGGUCUCUAACUGUUGGGGUCAGGAUCCAGGACAAGUGUCUUUACCUACUGCUCAUCCUGAAAAGUAGGUUAAUUUAAGGGGGGGAUGGGUAAUCCAAUGAGCUGGCUAGGUGUUUGUUUGUUUGUUUUUGAUUCGAGUUAGAACCAUCAAGGAAGAGUAGAAUGACCAGUAAGGGAACGCAGCUGUUGAGAAUACCUAGUGGUUCUGUGGAGAGCUAGCAGCACCCAUGUCUAGAUGAAUGAGCCUCAUAGACUUGUAAACGCUUGAGGCUUCUCUCUGACCAGGUUUGCCUCCGUUAUCUAAGCAGCUAUCCGCCCUGUACUCAGUACCUGCCUGGGAUCUGUGCCUCUGAGAACAUCUUGCUGUCCUAUGGGCGAGAACUGAUGCAGUAUUGGCUUUGAACUUUCCACUGCAUCCCGGCCUGUGCGCGCUGAAAUUGAAGAAAGUGAACUGCACAUCUGGAUUCCUCUCUCCACCUCUGGAUGGUGUGGGCCAGCCCCCUUGUAGGCCUGCUACUACAGUAGACUGAAUCCCUACUCAUGAGAAAACCUCUUCCCUAAGGGAGCUGCUUUGUCCAGACAUUUGGUCCCAGCAAAGUAACUAAUAUAGAGUUAACUCCCCAUUCAUAAGGGAUUAUCCAGGUGAGAGAAACUUGGUUCAAUACUGCUAUGUAGAAGUGGUACCUAGGAGGGUGGUCAGAAUUAAAUAAAACAUCAGCAUGGAUCCCCCUAUUGAAUGGUGGUAUGUUAAACAUUUUUCUUUCCUCUUUUACUUGAGUAUGUGCAUGUAGAUAUGUGCAAAAAGUUAAGGCUAACGUCGGGUACUUUUUUCCUACCUCAAUAUAUUUUGUCUUUAGAAGAGACCAGAGGACACGGGGACUCACAUUCACUCACACACACACACACACACACACACACACACACACACACACACGCUCGCAGGUUUUCUGUCUCUUGUCUGGUGAGGUCCCGUAUCCCCUCAAACCUUGACUCAGCCAACAAGAAGGCAAUGCUUCCACAGCCUGUGAUGUUCUGUGAUGCCACACCACUGGCCAGCAAGCUCCCUGAAUCAGGGACUGUGUGCCACUUUCCUUGGUAUAUCACUGGGGUCUUCAGCACACAGUAGGCUCCCAUAAACACUGGAUAAGACGAAAGGAUGAAAAGAAAGUGUCCUCAGUGUGUGCUUGGUCGAUGUCGCCCACAGGGACUCCUCAGCACUGUCACCUAGUUAAUCCAAUGACUGGCUUGAAGUGUCUGUCCCUCCAGCACAUAUCCAGUUUGGAUGCUCAGGGACUAUGCUCUGGGGAUCCUGAGUAAAACUACACGUCUCUUCAUGGGCUUCAGUAUAGUCAAGCGUAGACUGUACAGAAUGACAACAGUGUGGAAUUAUGGGUAGGAACAGUACAUGGCACAAGUAAUUCCCAGGAAAUGCCCUCCCUAGGGAACAUUUUGUUCUUAAUCCCUUUGUCACCAGCUGACAGCAGCCUCUUCCCCUGGGAUGACUCAUGGAACACAAAGGGAUUUUCCUUGGGCCCAGAAUCACAAUAAGAAGAGCCACACGCCCAGGUCUGGGUGAGCCCACACUCCGCGUGUCCCCGCAAGAACACUGAAG